UUUGAAUUGAUCCUGGCCUCAGGACGAACGCUGGCGGCGUGCUAAUACAUGCAAGUCGAGCGGAUCGAUGGGAGCUUGCUCCCUGAGAUCAGCGGCGGACGGGUGAGUAACACGUGGGUAACCUGCCUGUAAGACUGGGAUAACUCCGGGAAACCGGGGCUAAUACCGGAUAACACCUACCCCCGCAUGGGGGAAGGUUCAAAGGUGGCUUCGGCUAUCACUUACAGAUGGACCCGCGGCGCAUUAGCUAGUUGGUGAGGUAAUGGCUCACCAAGGCGACGAUGCGUAGCCGACCUGAGAGGGUGAUCGGCCACACUGGGACUGAGACACGGCCCGC
rnacentral:rRNA from 2 species